rnacentral:lncRNA from 10 species
UAUAUAGCAUUGGUAUAAUUUAUUAUGAAAGUAUUUUGAAAAACACAAACUGGUUCAGGUUUAUGGUUUCUUGGUGGGUAAAUAUUUCUAUUUAUAUUCUUAAAGUUAAAGUGAGUCUCUUGUAAGCAGGAUAUACUUAGGUCUUUUUUUUUUUCUAAUCCACUUAGACUCUCUAAGAUCCAUUUAUGUUUAAAGUAAUUAUUGAUAUGUAAGGACUUACUAGCGUCAUUUUGCUAAUUGUUUUCGGACUCAUUUGUAUUUCCCUUUUCCUUUCUUUGACUCAGGUUAUUUUCCAUUAUGAUUUGAUGAUCUUCAGUGGUGUGUUUCAGUUUCUUUCUCUAUAUUUAUUUACUUUGUGUGUGUGUGUAUCUACUAUAGGUUUUUACUUUGUGGUUACUAAGAGGUGUACAACACCUUGCAGUUAUACCAGUCUAUUUUAAGCUGUAA